CAAAAUGUAGCUUAAUAAAAGCAUCUCGCUUACACCGAAACGACAUCUGUUAAACCCGGAUCAUUUUGA
rnacentral:tRNA from 1 species